CCUACGGGGGGCAGCAGUGAGGAAUAUUGGUCAAUGGGCGGGAGCCUGAACCAGCCAAGCCGCGUGAGGGAAGAAGGUACAGCGUAUCGUAAACCUCUUUUGUCAGGGAACAAAGGCGGGGACUAGUCCCCGGAUGAGGGUACCUGAAGAAAAAGCAUCGGCUAACUCCGUGCCAGCAGCCGCGGUAAUACGGAGGAUGCGAGCGUUAUCCGGAUUUACUGGGUGUAAAGGGAGCGCAGGCGGCCUGCCAAGUCUGGUGUGAAAACCCGGGGCCCAACCCCGGGCCUGCAUUGGAAACUGGCGGG
rnacentral:rRNA from 1 species